UACAGAGGUCCCAAGCGUUGUUCGGAUUCACUGGGCGUAAAGGGUGCGUAGGUGGUGGGGUAAGUCGGAUGUGAAAGCUCGGAGCUUAACUCCGAAAUUGCAUUGGAAACUACCCUGCUAGAGGGUCGGAGGGGGGACUGGAAUACUUGGUGUAGCAGUGAAAUGCGUAGAUAUCAAGUGGAACACCAGUGGCGAAGGCGAGUCCCUGGACGACUCCUGACACUGAGGCACGAAAGCUAGGGGGAGCAAACAGG
rnacentral:rRNA from 1 species